rnacentral:rRNA from 1 species
AUUGAACGCUGGCGGCAAGCCUAACACAUGCAAGUCGAACGAGUGGCGGACGGGUGAGUAAUGUCUGGGAAACUGCCUGAUGGAGGGGGAUAACUACUGGAAACGGUAGCUAAUACCGCAUACCAUCGGAUGUGCCCAGGUGGGAUUAGCUAGUAGGGGGGGUAAAGGCUCACCUAGGCGACGAUCCCUAGCUGGUCUGAGAGGAUGACCGGCGACACUGGAACUAGGACACGGUCCAGACUCCUACGGGGGGCAGCCGUGGGGAAUAUUUCACAAUGGGCGCAAGCCGGAUGCAGCCAUGCCCCGGUGAUGAAGAAGGCCUUCGGGUUGGAAAGUACUUUCAGCGGGGAGGCGUUACCCGCAGAAGAAGCACCGGCUAACUCCGUGCCAGCAGCCGCGGUAAUUC